rnacentral:rRNA from 1 species
UGGAGCAAUCCAUGAGUACAGUGGCGUACGGGUGAGUAACACGUGGAUGAUCUACCUUUUAGUGGGGAAUAACUCUGGGAAACCGGAGAUAAUACCGCAUAAUCCCGAGAGGGGAAAGCAGCAAUGCGCUGAAAGAGGAGUCCGCGGCCGAUUAGCUAGUUGGCAGGGUAAAAGCCUACCAAGGCAACGAUCGGUAGCCGGCCUGAGAGGGCACACGGCCACACUGGCACUGAAACACGGGCCAGACUCCUACGGGAGGCAGCAGUGGGGAAUCUUGCACAAUGGGGGAAACCCUGAUGCAGCGACGCCGCGUGAGCGAUGAAGCCCUUCGGGGUGUAAAGCUCUUUCGGCAGGGAAGAUGAUGACGGUACCUGCAGAAGCAGCUGCGGCUAACUACGUGCCAGCAGCCGCGGUAAUACGUAGGCAGCAAGCGUUGUUCGGAGUUACUGGGCGUAAAGGGUGUGUAGGCGGUUAUUUAAGUUUGGUGUGAAAUCUCCCGGCUCAACCGGGAGGGUGCGCCGAAUACUGAAUGACUUGGAGUGCGGGAGAGGAAAGUGGAAUUCCUGGUGUAGCGGUGAAAUGCGUAGAUAUCAGGAGGAACACCGGUGGUGUAGACGGCUUUCUGGACCGUAACUGACGCUGAGACACGAAAGCGUGGGUAGCAAACAGGAUUAGAUACCCUGGUAGUCCACGCCCUAAACGAUGCAUAUUUGGUGUGGGCAGUUCAUUCUGUCCGUGCCGGAGCUAACGCGUUAAAUAUGCCGCCUGGGGAGUACAGUCGCAGGCUGAAACUCAAAGGAAUUGAC